UCCGGUGGCGAUAUCGACGAGGCCACACCCGAUCCCAUCUCGAACUCGGAAGUUAAGCUCGUCGGAGCCGAUGGUACUGCAGGGGGAACUCUGUGGGAGAGUAGGACGCUGCCGGGU
rnacentral:rRNA from 1 species